UUAAUGAUGAACUCAUUGAGAAGUUGAUUCCAAAAGUUGGACCAAGAUUAACGUUCAAGCAGAAAUUAAAGCAGUUAAAGGAAGAACAAAACAUAAAUCAGGAAACAGUCAAUUUGUCUGUUCAAGUUUUGGCAUCCACAAGUGAUAAAGG